GACUACCUGAAAACACCCUAUGAAUUUUUCAAAGAUAUAGUUACAGACGAAAUGAUUGAAACCCAAACAAACAUUAAACGAUCAUGCGGAUAGCAUUGAUCAAGCUGAGUGGGGAAAAGCCACAAAAUUCAGGUAAGACAAUCAGGUCAUAGACGCCAAACCCCUCAAUGAGUGAUUUAUGACUGACUGACAGCCGAGAGAAAGAAUUUCGCGCGCCACCUGAGGGGCAAUCAAAAUGUAAACAAAGAUCAGCUGACCUGCGCCUUGCGUGGAGGUAUUACUAUCAGGUGUAUGCAGCGUGUAGGAUAUUGCCUUCAUGUUUUAAUUUUGGUUUAAUAUUCAAGCUUAAUAUUCAGGUUUAAUAUACAGGCCUACCAGGACGUUGUUGAUUUUGUUUGAUUGUUUUUUUUUUUUUUAGUACCAGCAUACAUGUAGGAGUGAUAUCAGUGCUCAAAUGUUUACUGUAGGAGUGGCCUCAACCACAUGCCUGAUCAUUUGUCCCUUUUGCAGGCAAAUUCACCCUUUAUAAUAAUGUGUUUCUGCAUUAUUUCAGUUGCACGUGCAAGUAUGAUAAUGGUGCUCCAUGUUAUCGUCUAUUCCCUCCGGAGGAGAUGAUGAAGCGCAGAGGUGAUAUGAGAGAACUAAUUCCUCGAGACCAGAUGCUUGUUCUGUUGGGAAAGAUUUCCUGCGCCAUGAACUUAUCCGAUAUGACUAUGAAAACAAAACGCCGAGAACAGAAACCACGUGAACAUCAAGGGACAUUUUAUUGGAAGGAAAACAAUUGUGUCGUGACACAUUCAAGUUCUUGCAUUGUAUCAGCCAGGACCGCUUGACCGGCCUUCUGAAGCACUACAAGGAAAAUGGUCUACAGCCCAAGGAGAAGAGAAAUGGUGGCCGAAAAUCUAACACUAGGUCCUUCAUGUAUGAAGAUGUUCAACGAACUGUGCAGUU